rnacentral:rRNA from 1 species
CCUACGGGGGGCAGCAGUGAGGAAUAUUGGUCAAUGGUCGGGAGACUGAACCAGCCAAGCCGCGUGAGGGAGGAAGGUACAGAGUAUCGUAAACUUCUUUUGUCAGGGAACAAAGACUGGGACGCGUCCCCGGAUGAGUGUACCUGAAGAAUAAGCAUCGGCUAACUCCGUGCCAGCAGCCGCGGUAAUACGGAGGAUGCGAGCGUUAUCCGGAUUUAUUGGGUUUAAAGGGUGCGCAGGCGGUCUGUUAAGUCAGCUGUGAAAGUGGGGGGCUCAACCCGGGCAUUGAAGUGGAACCUGGCAGUCGUGAGUAGAGUAGAGGUGGGAGGAAUUCGUGGUGGAGCGGUGAAAUGAUUAGAGAUCGCGAAGAAGUCCGAGUGCGAAGGCAGCUCACUGGACUGAAACUGACGCUGAGGCUCGAAAGUGUGGGGAUCAAACAGGAUUAGAUACCCUGGUAGUC